CUGAAGCAAAGUUCUGUGACACUCAGACUCUGAUAUGAUAGAAGUCAGUGCACUACAGAACUUUGUCUCCGG
rnacentral:pre_miRNA from 1 species